rnacentral:lncRNA from 1 species
GAAAGCUAAAAUGGAUUAGAGAAAUAUGAAAAAGAAGGGAAGAAUCUGAAACUCAGUGCAGGGUAUAUCUUUUAAGCUUUGGCCAAAUUCUGUAUCUCUCUGAUUUCUUUCUUUGACACUUUUUUCGGGUCUUUCUUUUAAUUCGUUUGUUAUUUUUCUCAUUGUUUCUCUUCUUCCAAGCCUUUUCUCUCUUUUUAGAUCAACCAAUAUUUUUAAAUCUCCUUUUCUUCUUAAUUUCACCUCUGGCCUCACUCUUUUCUGCUCUCUAAGUUUCAGAUCUCUCAUUACCUCUCACAAGACUCUAGGGGUUGAUGUAUUUUGUUGGGGGGAGGCUUGUAAUGGCUGCAAACACAAAGUAUAGGCUAAGGCUCAAAUAAAGGGUGCAAUGGAAAGAUAUGUGGUUGGGUAGGCUUAUUUGGCUAUGACUAAAAAGAAAAAAAAUGGCCUAGAUCAUUUCUAAAGUUCUACCAAGAUCAAGCACACUAAGAAACAAUGAAUGCAAAGUUAGAAUUAUAGCUAUACAUGUAUGUAAUCACACUGAAAAGAAAAAAUUUGGCCCAAAAUCUCCUAAGGGAUAAAAUUUGUUAAAACUGGCUUACUACUCUCGAUUAUGCAAUAACUGUUCACUUGAAUUGAAUUAAAAUGCAAAAACUACUACUAGAACUCAUCUA